rnacentral:rRNA from 1 species
AUUGAACGCUGGCGGCAUGCCUUACACAUGCAAGUCGAACGGCAGCGGACCUUCGGGUGCCGGCGAGUGGCGAACGGGUGAGUAAUAUAUCGGAACGUACCUUUCAGUGGGGGAUAACGUAGCGAAAGUUACGCUAAUACCGCAUAUUCUGUGAGCAGGAAAGCAGGGGAUCGCAAGACCUUGCGCUGAUUGAGCGGCCGAUAUCAGAUUAGCUAGUUGGUGAGGUAAAGGCUCACCAAGGCGACGAUCUGUAGCGGGUCUGAGAGGAUGAUCCGCCACACUGGAACUGAGACACGGUCCAGACUCCUACGGGAGGCAGCAGUAAGGAAUAUUGGACAAUGGUCGGAAGACUGAUCCAGCCAUGCCGCGUGAAGGACGAAGGCGCUCAGCGUUGUAAACUUCUUUUGGACGGGGAUAAUACUGUCGAUUUAUCGGCAAUUGAAGGUACCGUCAGAAUAAGCACCGGCUAACUCCGUG